rnacentral:lncRNA from 1 species
GAAAGGAGAGAGAGAGAGAGAGAGAGAGAGAGAGAGAGAGAGAGAGAGAGAGAGAGAGUGAGAGAGUGUUAGUUUAUAGGUUUCUCCCUUACACGCGCGGGCACAGUACUACUACUGAGUAGUACAUUUCCCACGUCGGUGGCAAGAGAGAACUAAAACAAAGAGGAGUGCAGAUUGAAUGAAGGGGUUUGCGGAAAGUUGCAGUAUUUUGCCCAGGGAGGAGACUAGCCGCGACCAACGCUUUCGGAAAUGCAAGCUCUCCAGCCGAAAAAAGGGAGGGGGUAGGGGCUGGUGAAUGGAUGGAAACUUUGAAACAGACGAGGACAUCGUUCUAUAGGUAUUAUCUAUUUCAGGGAUGCAUACCAAGUAGAGCGUUUUAUAGGACGCCGGAAUUACUUGCCGACAGAAUGGAUUAUUAGAUAGGGUGGGUGACUUUUUAUUAUUUAUUUUUCCACACCGAUUUUCUCUUUUCCUUCUUCCAAGCCCCGAUCCCUUCUCAUUCUUCAUUCCUUCUCCACUCCUUUCCCUUCUCUCCUGAUCUUAUUCUCAGUUCUCACGUUUAGGAAACUCAAAUGUAUUUGCUGGACACUAAGAGUUAAGAUGUUGUGGACGGAGCCAGGGGGCGGGGGGUGGGGGAUUUCGGGGGGAAGGGAGGAGAAAAAGGGAGAGGGAGGGAGAAUGGUGGGGGAACGACAGAUUUCCAGCUUCUACGACACUUUGCCUAAAUUAAAAAGCAACCAAUCGGAACGGCCGGAAGGGGGGCCGCGCGUCCUAAGCCAGUCAUUCUAGGAUUGUCAAUCACACAGCGGGUAGCCAAUCAGCGGGGGCCCUUGCGCUCGACUUCCUUGUAUUUGGGAAAGUGUGGUGGUGGGUGCGCGCUCUCGGCGAGGGUAAACAUUCAGCAGUCCCUGCUCUGUGAGGGAGGGACAGAGGGAGAACUGUCAGAUCGGAAAAAGAGCGAGAGAAAGAGAGUGAGGGGGGAGAAAGAGAGUGAAAUUAGGCAGACAGAGAGAGAGAGAGAGAGAGAGAGAGAGAGAGAGAGAGAGAGAGAGAGAAGAGGAAAGAGAGGGCGCAGAACUGCUGCUGCAACUACUCUCCAGCACCACUAUCACCACCACCACCAACCACCACCAGUGCACUCAGCAAGCCUUGCAACAACUUCCCCACUGGAGUUAUUGUGUAUCAAGGAUAUCCUAUAUGCACACACAUACCUACACCUCUACCAAUGCACUCUUCCUCCUACUUCUCCAGGCAACUGCUGGGAUAAAAAAUAAAACACCAAACCAAAUCAUCAUCAACAAGGAAAGAUGUCUCAUCAGACUGUGACUGUUGCGAGAAGGAUGAAAAAGGACUCUCGUUUCAGAGGCAACAAAAUGCUCCAGCAAUAGCAACUUUGGAGAAAUGCAUCAUCGAAGGAAGUUUUCGUAGGACAGCAACAAAACUUGCAAAGAGGAAAAAGAGAGAGGGAGAGAGAGGACAAGAAGGGGAGACCAGGAGUCACACUCCCCUCCCCCUAAACCACCAGCAACCAACAGCAUCAUCCUCACGCCUUAAAGGAAAUUUUUUUUAAAGUUUUACUAUAAGAGGAAAAGAAGUGAAAUAAGCUCUUAAAGGAGAAAGAGGGGGGGAAAGUGGACGAGCAAAAGAAGUUGUUCGUUGAGAUUAUACAUAUAUAUAAUUUUUUUUUAAAGGAAGAACCGAAAAGCCUUUUUCUUUGUUGUUUCCUUCGAAGCCGUCACUUAACAGGUGAACUGAGACCACCAGAGCCUGGGGCAGAGUCCAUCCUCACCCUCUGGAAAGGGAAAAAGAGGGGGAGAGAGGAAGCCCGCCCAAAGGCAGAGGACCGACACCGGGCCCCCUCCCCAAGAAAAUACUUCAACUGGCUCAAAGAGGGCUUGGAGGGGUGGGGGGGAAAACACGACCAUCCCCGAAGGAGGGCAAGGAGUGCACCCAGAUAGCCGAGUCCCUCUCCCUAGGGCGCUGUUGCUGUUGCUGCUGCUGUUGCUGUUGACCAAGGCCCGGCGGCGACCCCCGCACCCUGCGGAUCGGCGUUGCAGCUGCAGCCGGGGGCGGCUGCGGCGGAGGCGGAGGCG